UCAGUGUUGUUGCAUCCUGUUAGAGAGACACUCAUAGAGAGUCUUUUCACAGUAACUCACUCUGGGUGUUUCUCUUGCAGAAAACUGAGGUAAUAGAAGAAGCUU
ensembl:miRNA